rnacentral:rRNA from 1 species
CCUGCGGAGGGAUCAUUACCGAGUUUACAACUCCCAAACCCAUGUGAACAUACCUAUUGUUGCUUCGGCGGGAUUGCCCCGGGCGCCUCGUGUGCCCCGGAUCAGGCGCCCGCCUAGGAAACUCAACUCUUGUUUUAUUUUGGAAUCUUCUGAGUAGUUUUUACAAAUAAAUAAAAACUUUCAACAACGGAUCUCUUGGUUCUGGCAUCGAUGAAGAACGCAGCGAAAUGCGAUAAGUAAUGUGAAUUGCAGAAUUCAGUGAAUCAUCGAAUCUUUGAACGCACAUUGCGCCCGCCAGUAUUCUGGCGGGCAUGCCUGUCUGAGCGUCAUUUCAACCCUCAUGCCCCUAGGGCGUGGUGUUGGGGAUCGGCCAAAGCCCGCGAGGGACGGCCGGCCCCUAAAUCUAGUGGCGGACCCGUCGUGGCCUCCUCUGCGAAGUAGUGAUAUUCCGCAUCGGAGAGCGAUGAGCCCCUGCCGUUAAACCCCCAACUUUCUAAGGUUGACCUCAGAUCAGGUAGGAAUACCCGCUGAACUUAAGCAUAU